UACGUAGGGGGCUAGCGUUGUCCGGAUUUAUUGGGCGUAAAGAGCGUGUAGGCGGCCAGAUAGGUCUGCUGUGAAAACUCGAGGCUCAACCUCGAGAUGUCGGCGGAAACCAUUUGGCUAGAGUCCGGAAGAGGAAAGUGGAAUUCCUGGUGUAGCGGUGAAAUGCGCAGAUAUCAGGAGGAACACCGGUGGCGAAGGCGGGUCUCUGGGCCGUAACUGACGCUGAGGAGCGAAAGCGUGGGGAGCGAACAGG
rnacentral:rRNA from 1 species